GUUUUAGACCACCCCAAACUAUUGUAGCUUGAUUUCUUUGAUAAAUAUGCUGUAUGGAAAGGUGACAGCGAUUGAAAUGAAUAAAGUACAACCCAUACUUACUAUCAAAAUCGAUGAUUCGGGUUGACAGAGUGAAAUAAAGAAGGCAGGGCAAGAAAUGGCUGUCUGUCCACACUCUGGACAAGAAAUGAGCAUGCAUUGAUGGAACAUUAUUUACUAUGAUUUAGUUCCCAGCAGACUCCAGAUAGAAGUUCUUUCCAAAUAUAAAGUGAAUUGAUGAAAUCUUGAAAAAGUGUUGUGAGUGUUGGUGUUGAUGUUGUCCAGAUAUAAAAACAUAUGCUGCCAGAUGAAUGUACUUUCCAGAUGUAAACCAUCACAAAUGAUGCCUGUUUGUAUUUACCAGUGUUUAAAAAGUG
rnacentral:lncRNA from 1 species